CUUGUAUUUUCAAGAGUGACGGGCGAUUUGUGCAUGUUAAAUUGCUUUUUCAGUUUUAUUUUUUAUACUAAUCUUAGUUUUAAGUCCUUCUUUGUACCAUUCUCUUUUAAAUCUUGAACCCACAGGGUUGUCUCACAUCUCUUCUUUAAAUUUUCUUUUGUCUUGAUUUGUUUUCCUAUUUUUUUCUUAUUUUACAAUUUUAGUUUCUUUAGAAUUUUAAAACAAUGAUAUAAAAAGUAAAAUUCAGAGUAAAUCUAAUCGUGGGUUAUCGAUUAUAGAACAUGAGCCCCUAGAAAGAUUUCCCACCGCCAUAUUAUUUAGAUUUCUUUUAUUUAAAUACUUCCUUCAUUUAAAUUAUAA
rnacentral:rRNA from 1 species